GGCCCUUCGGGGUACACGAGCGGCGAACGGGUGAUAACACGUGGGUGAUCUGCCCUGCACUUCGGGAUAAGCCUGGGAAACUGGGUCUAAUACCGGAUAUGACCUCCGAUCGCAUGGUUGGUGGUGGAAAGAUUUAUCGGUGCAGGAUGGGCCCGCGGCCUAUCAGCUUGUUGGUGGGGUAAUGGCCUACCAAGGCGACGACGGGUAGCCGACCUGAGAGGGUGACCGGCCACACUGGGACUGAGACACGGCCCAGACUCCUACGGGAGGCAGCAGUGGGGAAUAUUGCACAAUGGGCGAAAGCCUGAUGCAGCGACGCCGCGUGAGGGACGACGGCCUUCGGGUUGUAAACCUCUUUCAGCAGGGACGAAGCGCAAGUGACGGUACCUGCAGAAGAAGCACCGGCUAACUACGUGCCAGCAGCCGCGGUAAUACGUAGGGUGCAAGCGUUGUCCGGAAUUACUGGGCGUAAAGAGUUCGUAGGCGGUUUGUCACGUCGUUUGUGAAAACUCACAGCUCAACUGUGAGCCUGCAGGCGAUACGGGCAGACUUGAGUACUGCAGGGGAGACUGGAAUUCCUGGUGUAGCGGUGAAAUGCGCAGAUAUCAGGAGGAACACCGGUGGCGAAGGCGGGUCUCUGGGCAGUAACUGACGCUGAGGAACGAAAGCGUGGGUAGCGAACAGGAUUAGAUACCCUGGUAGUCCACGCCGUAAACGGUGGGCGCUAGGUGUGGGUUCCUUCCACGGAAUCC
rnacentral:rRNA from 1 species